UUUUAUGGGGUGACUGCGUACCUUUUGUAUAAUGGGUCAGCGACUUAUAUUCUGUAGCAAGGUUAACCGAAUAGGGGAGCCGAAGGGAAACCGAGUCUUAACUGGGCGUUAAGUUGCAGGGUAUAGACCCGAAACCCGGUGAUCUAGCCAUGGGCAGGUUGAAGGUUGGGUAACACUAACUGGAGGACCGAACCGACUAAUGUUGAAAAAUUAGCGGAUGACUUGUGGCUGGGGGUGAAAGGCCAAUCAAACCGGGAGAUAGCUGGUUCUCCCCGAAAGCUAUUUAGGUAGCGCCUCGUGAAUUCAUCUCCGGGGGUAGAGCACUGUUUCGGCAAGGGGGUCAUCCCGACUUACCAACCCGAUGCAAACUGCGAAUACCGGAGAAUGUUAUCACGGGAGACACACGGCGGGUGCUAACGUCCGUCGUGAAGAGGGAAACAACCCAGACCGCCAGCUAAGGUCCCAAAGUCAUGGUUAAGUGGGAAACGAUGUGGGAAGGCCCAGACAGCCAGGAUGUUGGCUUAGAAGCAGCCAUCAUUUAAAGAAAGCGUAAUAGCUCACUGGUCGAGUCGGCCUGCGCGGAAGAUGUAACGGGGCUAAACCAUGCACCGAAGCUGCGGCAGCGACACUAUGUGUUGUUGGGUAGGGGAGCGUUCUGUAAGCCUGUGAAGGUGUACUGUGAGGUAUGCUGGAGGUAUCAGAAGUGCGAAUGCUGACAUAAGUAACGAUAAAGCGGGUGAAAAGCCCGCUCGCCGGAAGACCAAGGGUUCCUGUCCAACGUUAAUCGGGGCAGGGUGAGUCGACCCCUAAGGCGAGGCCGAAAGGCGUAGUCGAUGGGAAACAGGUUAAUAUUCCUGUACUUGGUGUUACUGCGAAGGGGGGACGGAGAAGGCUAUGUUGGCCGGGCGA
rnacentral:rRNA from 1 species